rnacentral:rRNA from 1 species
AAAUUGAAGAGUUUGAUCAUGGCUCAGAUUGAACGCUGGCGGCAGGCCUAACACAUGCAAGUCGAACGGUAACAGGAAGCAGCUUGCUGCUUUGCUGACGAGUGGCGGACGGGUGAGUAAUGUCUGGGAAACUGCCUGAUGGAGGGGGAUAACUACUGGAAACGGUAGCUAAUACCGCAUAAUGUCGCAAGACCAAAGAGGGGGACCUUCGGGCCUCUUGCCAUCGGAUGUGCCCAGAUGGGAUUAGCUAGUAGGUGGGGUAAAGGCUCACCUAGGCGACGAUCCCUAGCUGGUCUGAGAGGAUGACCAGCCACACUGGAACUGAGACACGGUCCAGACUCCUACGGGAGGCAGCAGUGGGGAAUAUUGCACAAUGGGCGCAAGCCUGAUGCAGCCAUGCCGCGUGUAUGAAGAAGGCCUUCGGGUUGUAAAGUACUUUCAGCGGGGAGGAAGGGAGUAAAGUUAAUACCUUUGCU